rnacentral:rRNA from 1 species
UACGUAGGGUGCGAGCGUUGUCCGGAUUUACUGGGCGUAAAGAGCUCGUAGGCGGCUUGUCACGUCUGCUGUGAAAACUCGGGGCUCAACCCCGAGCCUGCAGUGGAUACGGGCUAGCUAGAGUGCGGUAGGGGAGACUGGAAUUCCUGGUGUAGCGGUGAAAUGCGCAGAUAUCAGGAGGAACACCGGUGGCGAAGGCGGGUCUCUGGACCGAUACUGACGCUGGGGAGCGAAAGCGUGGGGAGCGAACAGG